GUCUGCACUUGUCGGGGAAGGGUGAGAACCUUCGAUUAAGGUUCGACUCGAGCGAAAGCGAGAGAACGUUGCCAACGGCAACGACCCGUAGGGUGAGGAGCGAAGCGACGAAUAAUCCUUCCCCCACCACCA
rnacentral:sRNA from 1 species